AUAUCAAACUGAAAAAGGAAAUAUCGUGGAACAAAACCCAAAAUCCUCUCUCACCUCUGUCGCUGUCGCCCAUCCUUCCUCGUUGACUCGCUGUAUAACGGCCAACUUCGCGCUGUUCGCUCUUGAUUUUUCACUCGAAGUCCUUCUUGAUCGUGUCGCUGUUAGAUCGUCCGCUAUUCUCACUGCUUCAGCUGGGAUAGAGCAGAGUUCAACGUUGACUUCUUUAGAUCCUAUAUAUCUUCAAACUCACAAACACAAUGAAGAAGCUAGAUCCGAAACCAUAAAAGACAUCUUGCAUGGGAUAUUGAGAUUGAGCCAGAAGUGAGGAAAGCAUGGCUAAAAAAGCAUCAAGGUUAUUAGUAAGGGUGAAGGGUCAAUAACCCAUAAAUCAUAAUGGUUGUUCUCCAUGAAAUUUCGGAAAGAGGUUCAUCUUCUUCAUCCACUCAUAGUCAUAGAUAUGACGUAUUUUUAAGUUUUAGAGGUUUUGACACUCGUAAUAGUUUCACUACUUACCUUCAUAAGGCCCUCAUUGAUGCCAAUAUCACUACCUUCUUGGAUAAUGAAGAGAUUGAAAUUGGGGAAGAUCUGAAACCAAAGUUGGAGAGUGCAAUUAAAGCGUCUAGGGCUUUUGUUAUCGUGUUGUCCAAGAAUUAUGCUACUUCCACAUGGUCUCUUGACGAAUUGGUGUUGAUCCUUGAGCAACGUAUGACCUCCAACCAUAUUGUUAUACCUAUAUUUUAUCACGUUGAUCCUACACAUGUCAGGAAGCAAGAAGGUAGCUUUGGAGAUGCAAUGGCUAAGCAUAGAAAGAUGAUGGAGGCGGAGACAAAUGAAAAUAAAAGAAGUAAAUGGGCUCAAAAGAUGGACCGAUGGAAUAAUGCGCUUAGAGAAGUUGCUGAUUUAAAAGGGAAGCACAUAAAUGGCAGGAUAGAGGUGGAUCUUAUUAAUGAAAUUGUUAAGGACAUCUUCCUUAAAUUACGCAUAUCAUCAAGGUUUCCACUACCACAACUUAUUGGGAUGGACAAUUCCAUUAAAUUCAUCACUUCAUGGUUGAAAGAUACAUCCUCACAUACGGGAGAUGUACUCACUAUUUUGGGUUUGGGUGGGAUCGGCAAGACGUCUUUAGCCAAAUCAGCCUAUGUGUUACAUUCUAAUGAAUUUGAUACAAGCAGCUUCAUUGAAGAUAUCAAUAGGAGAUGUGAUGAAAAAUGUAAUGGAUUGAUUGAUGUACAAAAACAACUCUAUGAUGACAUUUCAAGAUCAAGCUCGGUUCAAGUUCGUGAUGUUUCUAUAUACACCUCAAUGAUAGAGAAUGCAUUCCCCCGUAAGAAGGUGUUUCUAGUUCUGGAUGAUAUUGGCAGUCUAAACCAAUUAGAUGCUUUACUUGGAAGCAAAGGUUUGCAUCCAGGAAGUAAAGUCAUAAUAACAACAAAGGACAGAUGGUUGACACAGAGUUGUUCACUAUUCAAAACGAACAUUAAACCCAAGUAUGCGGAGCACAAGCUUGAAGGUUUAUCUAUGAUUGAAUCACAAAAACUUUUGUGUUAUCAUGCAUUUAUGUGCAAUGAUCCGAAGCUAGGUUAUGAAGAGGUGUCGGAAAAUCUUGUGAAGUAUUGUGAAGGACAUCCAAUGGCUCUAAAAGUCUUGGGUAGGUCUCUACAUAAUCGAGAUGUAACUUAUUGGGAAGGAUACAUAGACAGGCUAAAGAAAGAAAAUGAUUCCCCUAUAAAUAAUGUCUUGAGAAUGAGCUUUGACUCUUUGCCAUCAAAAAAUGAUAAGGAGUUGUUUAAGCAUAUUGCUUGUAUUUUUGUUGGAAUGGAUAGAGAUGUUACUCUAACAAUCUUAGAGGCAUGUGAUAUAGAGACAAGAUCUGGGAUCACAAAUCUUAUUGAUAGAUGCUUGCUUAGUAUCACAUGGAAUCAAGAAUUGAUGAUUAUGCAAUUGAUGAUGCAUCAGUUGGUUCAAGAGAUGGGAAGAUUUGUGGUACGUGAAGAAUCACUUUACAAGCCAUGGGAACGAAGCCGAUUAUGGGGUCAUGAGUCAUUCAGAGUGUUGAAACAAAAAAAGGGUACGGAAAAUGUUCUAGGCCUCACCCUUGACAUGAAAAUGCUUGAGAAAGAGAAGUUACAUGAAUCACUUGAGAUAGAAAUAGAUGCAUUGAGUAAGAUGGAUAGUCUAAUGUUGCUACAACUUAACUAUGUACAAAUAACUGGAUCUCACAAGAAUUUUCCAGAAGAAUUGAAAUGGUUGUGUAUGCAUGGAUUCUCUAUGAAGGCUAUACCUUCAGACUUACCGAUCGUGAAUUUGGUUGCUCUUGACAUGUCAUAUAGCAAUAUGGAAUCGUUUGGCGUUUGUUAUGGUAAUCCACAACGGCUUCGGAGGAAGCAAAAGAAAAUGCUUGGAUCGUGCUCAAAAGAUAAAAAGUUGUUUGGAUCGUUGAAGAUUCUUAAUUUAAGUUUCUGUGAACAACUUCGUAGUCUUUGUAGCUUUGACCAGCUCCCUAAAAUUGAGAGGUUGAUGCUUAGAGGUUGCAUUUGUUUGCGUGAAGUUUGUGAAUCGAUUGAGCAAUGUGUUGAACUUGUCUUCAUUGAUCUAAGCUAUUGCAACAAGCUUAAAAAAUUUCCAAGAAACAUAACCAUGUUAAAGAAGGUUAAAACAUUCGUGCUAAAUGGAUUUCGUCUCGGUGAAUCUCAUAACGAGAUGAAAAAUAUGGAUUCAGCGGAAAAGCUUGAGGCUAUACCAAGUGAUUUCAAGUUCUUUAUGGUUCCUUUACCAAGAUGUUUAGUAAGCUUGUCACUUGCACAUAAUAAUUUGUCUACCGAAUCCUUUCCCAUGGACUUCAGUUGUCUAUUCAUGUUAGAAGAAUUAUAUUUAGAUGCCAAUCCUAUGGUUUCCCUGCCCAAUUGUGUGAGAAGCCUUCCUAGGCUUAAGAGACUUAGUAUGGUACAAUGUAAUAUGCUGACGUCAGUAGAGCAUCCUCCACAUACAUUGACAUUUAUGCGACUCCAUUUUGAUUCUAGUAAGCAUGUGCUACGAAAAGUUGUAUUUGAUCCACAAAUGUCCCCACUCUUGUUCCUAAUAGACUGGAAGAUGUUAGCACCUUCUUAUUUUGAAAUUGAGGGCAUGGUGAAAAUCGAAUCAUUUGGAGUUGUUGAGGAAAAGGUAUUACGUAGUUUGGGCUGGACUGAGCUAGACUUCCUUAUUUUAAGUCGCUUCAGAAGUUAUCUUGAUGAUAGAAUAGAGGAAUCUUUUAUCCAGAUGUAUUAUGAAUUUGGAAUAUUCAGCACAAUUUAUGGAGGCGAAGAAAUGCCGAGUUGGAUUGUAGAUAGACGCACGGGGUCAUCAAUGUCAUUUACCAUCCCAUCAUCUCCAAACAAGCUCAGAGGAUUGAAUUUCUGUUGUGUGCUGAGAUCUCGAUAUCUAGGUUACGACUUCUUUUAUUUGCCAGUGAUCAUAAUUAGUAAUAUUACAAAGAACCGCAUCUGGAAAUACCAACAUUACAUUCGUAGAGUCGAUGUUAUUGGAAAGUGUGUGACAUUGUUAAGCCAUUGGAUGUUUGGGAUGAAUGAUAUGGAAUGUGGUGAUCAGAUUACUAUUACCAUGAGCCCAGAACCACUUCUUGUUGAGUGUGGGGUGAGUUUUGUUUAUGAUGAUGAUGGAGACAUGGAUGAUGAAGAAGAACAUGCAUUGAGUUAUUAUAAGUCCUGGAAUCACAUUAUUGGUGGAGAUUUGAGUGUAUUUCAGUUAACAACAGGAGAGUACAUUCUAACAAUAUGGCGAUUUUUGCUGACUGAAAUUGAUAUUCGUGUACAAUCAUCGGAGUCUUUGUAUGGAGAUGGUGUCCACUUUAAAGAUGAGCUAGUGCAAUUCAGGGCUCUCUCUCAAAGAAACUCUGGCAUACUGGAUGAUGGUCCCUAAGGUAGUUUUAUAUCCCAAAAACUAACUGUCACAAGCUCAUUUCUAAUAUAUUUUCACAUAAAUAAAUAACUCUACAGCUCUGCGAUUCUAAGGAAGCAAGCAGGGUAUAACAAGAAUCACCUACAGUGAAAAAUUCCUGGGAGCACGGUAACAAGGAUAUGCAACUUUCAUUGGAGGUAUUUGCUAUAUUUGGGUAGAUUCCUUAAAGAACAGGAUCAGUCAAAUGCAACUCAAAAAAACUUGUGUUUCUUUUGCCAAAUUAAACAAGGUGAUAUUUCCAAAAGUGCUAUUGUAAACAUUUUUUCUGAUCGUUAAAUCGGAAAAACAAUCAGAAUAUUCCGACCUUUAUGACAGAACAGUACAUUGUAAAUGAAACUCACAAAAUGCAAUAUUUUGUGUCAUCCAAAAUGGUGAGACAAGGCCGGACUAGGUUUGGGAUUAAGAUGAAUGAGACAAGAGUUGUAAUUUUUUGUUCCAAACAAAAGAUGAAAGAAAGGGAUUUUUUUUUA